rnacentral:lncRNA from 12 species
CUGCUUUCCUGAGAAAAGGUGUUCACUCUUCUCUUUGGGCCGAUGGACACCAGCCCACGUUGAGGCCUCAGAAAAUAAUUUUGGUUCCCAGCAAGAAAGAGGUGGUCCAACUGCAACAGCUCUCCCAGCGGCUGGGGGACAGGGGGCUCCCCAGUGAGGCCUGCUAAAGGCACCUUUGAAGACAGGUUCCCCGCCCCCCACCCCCGGCAUUUCCAGGAACAUCUUCAAUCAGUUUGAACAUCUGCACGGCUCGAGGAUGGUCGUGGCAGGGUCCAGGGGCAGCCUGUUGGAGGUGAGGGAUGGAGGGGGGGCAGUGGGGCGGAGAGUCUAGAACAAGCCCAGAGGCCCGACCUCCAAAGUUCCCUGUUCCAAGAUGCCCCUGGUCUGCCCAGGCCUGCUCCUGCCUGCUUCUACCACCUGUUUUUAGUACCAGGCUUUUUGAUUCGUUUCAGUUCCCGAAGAGCAGGGGGCAGCUGAGCAGGGAGCAGGGCAGGCAACAGUGGAAAGACCAGGGUGUUGUUUUUGUAGACAGGAGGCCUGGUUUUCGUCGGGCGUGAGGAGAUACCCAGGUGGUUUUUCUGCAGCCCCUCGUGCAGGCCUGGCCUGCUGGAAUGGAUUUCAAUUCUCCUUUGCCAAACUACACUUUCAAGAGGUGUCGGAUAUCGAAAACCUCUCCCCCGAGCCAAAGCAAGCAUUUGGGGGAGGAGAGGUCCAGAGGGGCGAGGGACGGUCGGAGAAGAUGCUGGUUAAAAAAAGAAGGCAGGAGCAGUAAGAAAAGUUCUUUCACGUGGCGUUCCAAUUUGGCUGUUGCUUUUUCAAAUAAUUGGUUAAAAACCGUGCAUCAAGCCAGUAUUUCAGGAGGUAGAAGCCAGUAGCUGGGCUGCCUGGAGGAGAGGAUUUCUAUACAGGAGAAGUGAAAGGCCAUGCUGAGGGAGUAGGUUGGGCUGGCUCUGGGAGGCCUUUGGAGAAGAUUAAGGAGUACGGCAGAGACUGAUGCUGUAGCUACCGGCAAUACUCUUUCACCUGGACCUGGAUGCCGACCCUGUAGGCUGGCUCACUGAACACCUUGUCCCAACUGUCCCUCCUGAAGGCUGACCGCCUGCAGCCAGAGUUCUGAUGAUGGCCUGGACAUAACAAGUGGUGGUCCUACUUGACGUGUGGAACAAUGUGAGGUGAUGGCCAGGUAUGGGGCCAACUGAUCCCCUGGAGAAGGCAUGUGUUUACUCUGCAACCAUCCUGACUCGUCCCCAAGAUCACAGGUGUGGAGUUGAUGCUGAAACUGUCUCAUGGCUUGGAUGGAAGUUUCUCCAAGAUGCAUUGUUCCUGGCUUGGUUCCUUGGCCUUCCAAGAAAUUUUACAAACUUCUCAGUAGUCUCCCUUUUCAUGUAAACUAGCUAAAAUGGAUUCUAUUGUCUGCAACUAAGACCAACGACACACUCUGGUCAAUCUAUCCUUUCAUUCAAUGCAUAGAUACCUUCUUCAAACAAUGUAUUUAUUCAGCAUCUACUGUGUGUCAGAAUUUGUGCUGAAAUGGGCAUUUUUCUUCUGUAAUACAACAACUGCCUUGUGACAGAAUUAUACCCACUCAGAGAGAGGUUAGGAAACAACUCGGGCCAUGCAGCUAGAUUUGGACAAGAUUUUUAAUUUUCCCACCACUCCCUGACCUAAAACUUCCAGGAUAUUUCUGAAAGAAAGAUAAACUGGAGAAGGGACAAAAGGCGCAUGUGUCUUUUAGAGAAAGGAAGUUUGGCAUGCCGGUCUGGGGGUAUUUUGAGGGGCCCUGGAUCCACAACUUUUAGAAUGAUUAGAUGCUGAGGUGCUGAGCGAGGUGCUGGAGACAGGCCGACUCAGGUCAUUCUCCUGGGGAAGUCAUUA